GACGAACGCUGGCGGCGUGCCUAAUACAUGCAAGUAGAACGCUGAGAACUGGUGCUUGCACCGGUUCAAGGAGUUGCGAACGGGUGAGUAACGCGUAGGUAACCUACCUCAUAGCGGGGGAUAACUAUUGGAAACGAUAGCUAAUACCGCAUAAAAGAGACUAACGCAUGUUAGUAAUUUAAAAGGGGCAAUUGCUCCACUAUGAGAUGGACCUGCGUUGUAUUAGCUAGUUGGUGAGGUAAAGGCUCACCAAGGCGACGAUACAUAGCCGACCUGAGAGGGUGAUCGGCCACACUGGGACUGAGACACGGCCCAGACUCCUACGGGAGGCAGCAGUAGGGAAUCUUCGGCAAUGGGGGCAACCCUGACCGAGCAACGCCGCGUGAGAGAAGAAGGUUUUCGGAUCGUAAAGCUCUGUUGUUAGAGAAGAAUGAUGGUGGGAGUGGAAAAUCCACCAAGUGACGGUAACUAACCAGAAAGGGACGGCUAACUAC
rnacentral:rRNA from 1 species